UCAAACCAGUCUUCAGAUCUCAUAUUCUUGAUUAUAAGCAUGAGUCACUAGUGCACAGCAAGUUUUAUUUUAUAAUCCUUGCUCUGCUUUAAAAGAAAAUGAGCUGUUACAAUUCUCAAAUAACUUUUUCCAAGGACAAUAACAAAAAUGUAUUUUUCCUAAGUUGACUAAAAGAUGGCUAAAAACAGUGUAGAUUAAAAACAGAUUUGGAAAUUCUAAAUAAUGCCCAAUGUAUAAUGGGGUGGUUAGUUAUACACUAUAGUAUCUGGGAAAAAGACACACAUAAUUUGAUUUCAAAACCAUCAUGUUCAAUUCCAAAUAUAAAAUUUUGUAAUCUUUGUGAGUCUGUAAACAGAGAGAAAUACACAAACGCAAAAAAGUAUCCAACAUAAAAUUCAAAUUAAAAAGUAACUGCAAAGCCAAAUUCAGAAGUAAGUUAAACACAAUAUUACCAAGUUAAUUCUCAAACUAGCUAGUUUGGUUUCCAAAGGUAAACAUCUAUUAAUUUCAGGAAAAAGAGCCUGUUAAAAAAAACUCAGACAGUCACAUGAGUCUCCCUUUCUUAGCCACAGAAAAAAGAACUACGAGAAAGGCUGAAGUAGCAAAUUUUAGAGUUAGGCCAAGCCACACUUAGCAUACACAACUUCUUUUCUAGUUAAGUAGGGUUUCAUUCCCAGACUAGUCUGCAGCUCAAGAUCCUCUAGCCUCCUAUGUGCUGUGAUGGGCCCAGGCCCCUCUAGACAUAAAAAGUUGAAAUGGUAAUUGAAAAACAGCAAAAGCAAAAGCAAAAGGGGAGGUAGGCAUGGUUCAAGUGGUAGAGAGCCUGGCUGUAAACACAAGGCCCUGAGUUGUCUGUUUUUUAAAUCAUUGCUUAAGGUUCAAGCAGGUAUAAACCAGAAUUAUAUCUGAGGAAAACUUUUACUGUAAUUAUGAGUUCCUGAGCCACUAAAAUGACUUGUUUUUCCUUUCUGAAUACAUUUGGAGAUGGGUAACAGAUGUAUUGCUUCAAAAUCUUCAAAUAUUUCUACUUUACCAAGAACUUCUACCACAACACAGUAAGUAUGAAAUGUGUGAGUAAGCCAAGUUAAAUAUUUCAUGAACUUAAACUUAAAAUUUGGCUUUGCCAGUCUAUAAAAGUCCUUUAGAACAAUAAAAGACCCAAAUAUUUUCAUCUUCCUCAACAUUCCUUCUCUUCAGUUUUUUCUUAGAUUUUUCUUUUUAGUCACAUCUUUAAACACAUAGUUUCUGGAAAUAACAUAUCACUACACCAGAAUCCAACUUAAUACACAUUCAAUUCCAUGUACAAAUUAUGUUUUACAAUCUCUUACUAUACAACUUAAGUAAUGUUUCCAUCUCUUCUGUUUUAUUUAUUUGCAGUACCAGGAUUUGGAACUCAAGGCUUCUACCCACACCCCUAACACUUUCUACUUUAGUUACUUUUCAAGUAAGAUCUCAACUUUAUUUUAUUUAUUUAUUUAUUUUAUCAUGGAUGAUCUGGACCACAACCCUCCUUAAGCCUCUCAAUUAGCUGGCAUGACAAGCAAGAACCACCAUGUCCAGUUUUUCUGUUGACAUUUUGUUUGCCUAGGCUAGCCUUGAACUUGGAUCCUCCUGAUGGCUUGCUCUUGAGUAGCUCGGAUUUCACUGGUAGAGUGAAGGGAUUACACUAAUGUUGCUACAGUCUGAACAUCUGAAUAACUCACUAUGGGUCAAAAUAAAUACAAAAUACUUAAGAACUGGGCUGGGAAUAUGGCCUAGUGGCAAGAGUGCUUGCCUCCUACAC